CAUAUGAACUUGAGCAACAAUUUAUUUAAGCUUUGUAAAAUGAUAUUUAAAAAGCGAAGAUCAGCUUCAGAACUAUAACACUUAAGAUUUAUGAAGAGCACCACCUUGCCUGAGAUAAGGCCUAUGUCCCAUCUCACUACAUGUCAGAAUGACUCCAAAGUAGGCCAGACUUCAGGAAUGAGAACUGCUCUCCAGCAGGUCCACCUGCUUAUUCUGUCUGCUCUCCAGCAUCCCCACAAGGAAGCAUCAAACCUACACUCCCCACACCUCAGAUGAGGAGCCACCAGCCAGGCGAGGACUGGUAGAUCAACUCCACUCACGUGCCUAGGCACAAAAAGCCUCGCUACCUACUUACUCUGGUUGAUACUUUUUCAGGUUGGAGAGAAGCCUUCCCUACCUCCAGGGAAACUGCUGACACUGUCGCCUCCAUCCUCCUUGAGCAGACCAUUCCCAGCUGAGAACAUAUACAAAAAUGAACCUUAACUUUCUGAUCCUCAUCCUCACCCCAAGGGUAAUGCCUUCGCCAUCGUAUGUCUGGAGACUCAAGGUGAGAGAAACAUACACAAAAAACACCCAGACCACCCACUUGGCUACCACUUCUGACUGCCCCCUAACAGGGUGCUCCUCAGCCAUCUCUAUUGUACUCUCUUCCUCUUCCUCUGAGCUCAUUAAGCAAGCCAGCCACCCUCACUUUGUUUUGUUUUGUUUUUUUUUUAUGACCAAAAUAAGGAUUACUGCAACGGUGGCCGGAAACCUACGGAGGCUGCCCCUAUUGGUCAUGCAGAAUUCAUGAUGCAUAUUCAGGGCAAUUUAAUGUAGGAAGAUUUAAACUUGAGUCUGCCUCCCACCAAUACAAGCCGACCAUCCCAGGCCCUGGGAACCCACGCUGGGCAGCAGGAGUAAAGGCUUCCUUUUAUUGCGGUAGGUAUGUCUCCACUCCCUGUGGUUCCUUAUCCAUUACCUGGAAUAUGUUUCCACAGAGUCCCCAGGCUCUCUUGUCUCAACCAACACAAAACACUCAGAACAACGGCUGCUCGCAUCCCUAGAAAGCCAACGCACUUCUGACUCUCAGGCUUCACCCAUCUAUACCUGGUUACAGAUCAUCACUGACACAUUGUCCUACCUAAACUCUCCCCGCUGCAAGUCCAGCAAAUUGCUCUCUGUGUGCUUCCCAAGCAUGGCCCUUACUUGCCGAAGUUCCAAUAAAAGUUUCCAGUGCGAAUGUCUCCAGCUUGCCCAACUCACCCUACAACAGGGAACCUAUGAAACCCCUGCAGAAUGUUCCUUUAUGGGAACCCGAGGAAAAUAACCACACCAUGAUUCCUCGGGUUUGCCUUCUGGGAUCCGCAACUCCCAAUUUCCUUCCGGCAGGUUUUUGCCACCGUAACCUAACCAUCAACCACACCACUUACUCCCCACCAGUCUCUUCUUCUGUGCAAUGGCACUCUCACCAACAUUGUACUCUCCAACAUGUCUAACCCAUGUUUAUUAGUCACCAUAGUUCCAAGCUCACUCUCUAUAGAAACUCUGAAGUAAAAUCCAUCCUUAACCCUAUAAAACGUGGAAAACGGGCUGCAUUCCCUCCGUUAAUGAUAGGCAUUUCAUUAACCGCCUCAGCGGCAAGCGCAGGGUUAUCGGGAGGAGCCUUAGGUCAUUCCCUGUGGGCUGUCAAGGACAUUAAUUCAAAACUUGAAGGAGCACUUACUUCCACAGCAGAAUCUCCAACAUCCUUACAAAAACAGGUCACCUCAUUGGCACAGGUCACCCUUCAGAAUCGCAGGGCCCUAGGUUUACUCACCCCCGAAAAGGGCGGAGCCUGUCUUUUCCUCAGGGAAGAGUGCUGUUAUUAUGUCAACGAAUGGGGUCUUUAGAAGACAAUGUGGUUAAGCUCACUGGCCUGGC